AACGAACGCUGGCGGCAGGCCUAACACAUGCAAGUCGAACGCCCCGCAAGGGGAGUGGCAGACGGGUGAGUAACACGUGGGAACCUUCCCUAUAGUACGGAAUAGCCCAGGGAAACUUGGAGUAAUACCGUAUACGCCCGAAAGGGGAAAGAAUUUCGCUAUAGGAUGGGCCCGCGUAGGAUCAGCUAGUUGGUGAGGUAAUGGCUCACCAAGGCGACGAUCCUUAGCUGGUUUGAGAGAACGACCAGCCACACUGGGACUGAGACACGGCCCAGACUCCUACGGGAGGCAGCAGUGGGGAAUAUUGGACAAUGGGCGCAAGCCUGAUCCAGCCAUGCCGCGUGAGUGAUGAAGGCCUUAGGGUUGUAAAGCUCUUUUGCCGGGGACGAUAAUGACGGUACCCGGAGAAUAAGUCCCGGCUAACUUCGUGCCAGCAGCCGCGGUAAUACAGAAGGGGACUAGCGUUGUUCGGAAUCACUGGGCGUAAAGCGCACGUAGGCGGAUUUGUAAGUCAGGGGUGAAAUCCCGGGGCUCAACCUCGGAACUGCCUUUGAUACUGCGAAUCUUGAGUCCGAUAGAGGUGGGUGGAAUUCCUAGUGUAGAGGUGAAAUUCGUAGAUAUUACGAAGAACACCGGUGGCGAAGGCGGCCCACUGGAUCGGUACUGACGCUGAAGUGC
rnacentral:rRNA from 1 species